UCAUUCGGACAAAAAUUUCCA
ensembl:piRNA 21ur-12351 ncRNA